rnacentral:rRNA from 1 species
UAGGGAAUCUUCGGCAAUGGACGAAAGUCUGACCGAGCAACGCCGCGUGAGUGAAGAAGGUUUUCGGAUCGUAAAACUCUGUUGUUAGAGAAGAACAAGGACGUUAGUAACUGAACGUCCCCUGACGGUAUCUAACCAGAAAGCCACGGCUAACUACGUGCCAGCAGCCGCGGUAAUACGUAGGUGGCAAGCGUUGUCCGGAUUUAUUGGGCGUAAAGCGAGCGCAGGCGGUUUCUUAAGUCUGAUGUGAAAGCCCCCGGCUCAACCGGGGAGGGUCAUUGGAAACUGGGAGACUUGAGUGCAGAGGAGGAGAGUGGAAUUCCAUGUGUAGCGGUGAAAUACGUAGAUAUAUGGAGGACCACCAGUGGCGAAGGCGGCUCUAUGGUAUGUAACUGACGCUGAGGCUCGAAAGCGUGGGGAGCAAACAGG